UACGUAGGGGGCAAGCGUUGUCCGGAUUUAUUGGGCGUAAAGAGCGUGUAGGCGGCCUGGAAGGUCAGCUGUGAAAACUCGAGGCUCAACCUCGAGACGUCGGUUGAAACCACCUGGCUAGAGUCCGGAAGAGGAGUGUGGAAUUCCCGGUGUAGCGGUGAAAUGCGCAGAUAUCGGGAAGAACACCCGUGGCGAAGGCGGCACUCUGGGACGGUACUGACGCUGAGGAGCGAAAGCGUGGGGAGCGAACAGG
rnacentral:rRNA from 1 species